CAGAAAGUCAGGGGCCCAUGUCAUUCUGCUCUGGGUUCAGACGUGCACUGCAGCAGCACCGGGACUUGACAGCCCUACGGCUCGAUCAGCUUUCUGUUUUCAUUGCCUUACGAUGCCAUGAGUGGAACUAUUGUCAAAUCAGAGUUCACUCCCCAGCUUUUCAGUCUUUCCCCUAAUUCUUGCUCUAUCAGAGGUCGAGGACAACAGUAUAAUGAUUCAUAGGUUCUACUUCCUGGCAAGUAAUCAUUUUCCCACGGGCCCUUGUGAAUUGAUGAAUAUGAAGACACUAAGAAAGCAGAAAUAGAACUGAGAAGAAUGAAAUAACUGUCUCUACCUUUCUCGAAUUGUCUAAUAUGGAAAGAAUGAAAGACAGCUAAUAAGCAACUCUCUGCAAGAAGACAUAUGGCUUAGGUUCUGCUGAGCUAUUGGUGAUUUGAUUCCAUGCAUAUGUAUUCACUACUGGUAUAAAAUCUACUUGGAGAGAGUCAAACACAGAAUCCCUUUGAAUUUAAUGGCCAUUCCAGGUGAUUUGAACAGCCAAAUAAGAAACAGGUCCUCUUCAAUGUACAAUCUGCCAAGUAUGAAGUCUGAAUGACCAUCAUUAUUAUGUAUUUAAUGUGCAUAGAAAAUCUAUCUGCAACCUUCCAGAGUGUACCAGAAGUUUGGAAUGUACAUUAUUAUUGGCUCCAUCUCAAACCACUCAUAAAUCAAAGAAAAUAGCAGUUCCAGAGGAAUCAUCAUAGAGGCUUCUAGGCCCCCAUGCUGUGUGAACCUGGUGAGAAAGGGAAGUCUGCUCUCACUGGACACUGGAACUGUUUGUCUCUGUCUCUGCUGUACUUUCCCUGCCUCUACCUCACUUAGUAAAGAAAUCAUCUUUGCUUGAUAACUAAAACAACCAAUAAGGCUGAGAAAGGGGAAAACCCACAUCUGGAUUUAAAUACAAGGUAUUGGGCCAGCUGCUGGGGAUUAAACUUUGAACAAAACAGAUAGAAUCUAUGUCCUCAUGGGAGUGGCUAAUGGGAGAGUCGGAACAAAAAAAUAGCCAAGGAUAAUCCAGCAAAUGAUUUGGUGAAUGCUAUCAAAGAGAGAAAUACACAUGCUCUGGGAACACCAAGAAUAAACGAGAGAAAGGGACAUUAAUAUAUAUUGAAUAUCUGCUGUGUCAGGCACCUUACAUAUAUUGAUUGCUUCUUCACUUCUUUUAAUCUUUACUACACCACAUGAGGCUGUCAUAGAGAUUCUGAGAACAAAUUGUCUAAUUGAGAAACUGCUGAGCAUUGGAAAUGAGCUUGCCAGGGGAACAGAGGGAUACCUGAAUAGCGAAUGCAAGGCAGUUCAAAACUCAAACUCAGGCCACUGGAUUUGCUGCCCACUGCUCCUUGUAUGAUCGCCCUUGGGCACCACAUCCAUGUAGAGUCUUCUUCUAAGAGGCAAGGAAGGUCAAAGCUGAAACCACACAUCCCAGAUUAUGAUUGAGGUGUUUUUAUAGAACUUGUUUAUUUACAGCGUCUAUACUAAAACUUAUUUUUGGAAGCUGUAGUCAAAUAAUGUUUCUUAAGUGCCUUCACAGGAUAGACCAGCAAUAGAUGCUGUGGAAGAAGUGCAUGAUGUAGCUCCUGACCUCAAGACACUUUUCCACUGGAUACGGAUACAGGGCAUAUCUCCAGGGAGAUCAUUCAGGAUAAUGCCCAGUCAUCAGCAGGCAGUGCCAUAUGAAUGCAUAGCAAGUUAUGCUCCAGGAAGCAGAGGAAGCAGAGCACAUGAGGAAUGGGCUUCUAUGUGUAGCUGGAGUCUCACCUGGGUUUUGAAUUCAUAAAUAGUGUUCAAGGAGGAAGCAGGGAGGGUAUAGCUCUUGAUAGGAAGUGAUGGGAUGGCGAUACGAAUAUAUGUUCCUUGUUUGAAAUACCACAUGAAGGGCAUGUGGCUGUGAAACCAACUUUGCAAAGAUGAUGACAGUGAGAGAAAUCUAGCAUGGCUGACUCCAUCUUGCUUCUAGCCUCGCAGGCUGGCUACCCUCACUCACUCUUGGGCAUAGGCCCAGCUAACCAUGGGAGUCAUUUGAUUUAUAGAUUAACUUUGAAACAAGAAUGAUAAGAGUCUCUCCCUAAAACUGACCCCUUCCUUGUUCAGGAGCUGAAACUGCCUUUGUAAGACUAAUGAAAGGCCACAAGAUUAGGAUUAUGGGAGAGGCCUGGAUUCUGCUAAAAUGUAGGUGUAGUAAAUGAUAAACAGACAUUGAUCUCCAGUUGGCUUUUCUAUAAUCCCUUCCUGCUCCGGGGUCAGGUGGCCAGAGGCACAAGAUUUGUGGCUUCCGCAAAUUCUCCUGUAGGUAACAUCACUAUUGUAGAAUUUGAGAUUGGUCUUUUGAGAUGUUUUUCAGGCUUUUGCAUUCUGGCAACUCACUGACCCCAUGACUCAUGACUCAACCUGUUCUGUGGCCCCCACACAGAGGCUAGUUCAGUGCACAAGAACCAUUUUCCACACCCCUAUGUUGUCAUUCCCAACCAAUCAGCAACACCCACCCCUGAGCUCCCUGCCUGCCCAAUUAUCCAUAAAACUCUAGCCUCUGAGUUCUUGGGAUGGCUGAUUUGAGCAAUUAUUCCCAUCCUUCCAUUCAACUAGCCCUGCCAUUAUUAAACUCUUUCUCUACUGCAAUACAUCUGUCUCAGUGAACUGAUUUUAUCUGUGCAGUGGGCAACAAUUAGCCAUUGGGUGAUUAUAGCUGGAAAAGUGCCUACCUUGUGGCAGUUAAACAUGAGGUUUGGAGGGAGACUACCUACAUCUAACCACCACUGACCACCAUUGUAGUUGAGGUUCUGGUCAACUUAUUAACCCUUUGUGCGCACAUGUGCAUGCGUGCACACACACAGACACACACAGACACAUUUUCUCAUGUGUGAAAUGGGGACCAUAAUGUUGGAUCUCCCAGUGUUGCAGGAAGGACUCAUUGUAACAGAACAUGAAAAUAUUUAAUGUGCUGCCUAAUGUAUAACAGACACUGAAUAAAAUAACCACUGUUUUCAUUAGUAAUGGUCUUAGAUACCUAGCUAAGGCAAAAAUUUACUCGAUUUCCUGUCCCUCAUCUUUCAAACUUACUUGGGUUUGUAACCAUCCUUGCUUCCUUCCCCUCUUUUCAAAGUGUUAUUUCCUUUCAAAGUUAAUCCUUUCACUUGAUUCUCAUUCCAUCACGUAUUGUCUUCCUUC
rnacentral:lncRNA from 1 species